AUAUCAAUAAGCGGAGGAAAAGAAACUAACAAGGAUUCCCCUAGUAACGGCGAGUGAAGCGGGAAGAGCUCAAAUUUGUAAUCUGGCGGUCUCCGGCCGUCCGAGUUGUAGUCUGGAGAAGCGUCUUCCGCGCCGGACCGUGUACAAGUCCCUUGGAACAGGGUGUCGUAGAGGGUGAGAAUCCCGUCUUUGACACGGACUACCGGUGCUUUGUGAUGCGCUCUCAAAGAGUCGAGUUGUUUGGGAAUGCAGCUCAAAAUGGGUGGUAAAUUCCAUCUAAAGCUAAAUAUUGGCGAAAGACCGAUAGCGAACAAGUACCGUGAGGGAAGGAUGAAAAGCACUUUGGAAAGAGAGUUAAACAGUACGUGAAAUUGUUGAAAGGGAAACGCUUGAAGUCAGUCGCGUCUUCCGGGACUCAGCCUCGCUUUUGCUUGGUGCAUUUCCCGAAUGACGGGCCAGCAUCGAUUUUGACCGUUGGAGAAAGGCUUUGGGAAUGUGGCACCUUCGGGUGUGUUAUAGCCCUCGGUCGUAUGCAACGGUUGGGAUCGAGGAUCGCAGCACGCCUUUUUGGCCGGGGUUCGCCCACGUAACGUGCUUAGGAUGCUGGCGUAAUGGCUUUAAACGA
rnacentral:rRNA from 1 species